rnacentral:siRNA from 1 species
AUUGGUGAAAAUGGUGUCUUACCC